UCAUUGAAUAGAUGUUGUGAGUAUUUGUGGAGCCUCUAGAAAGUCCUGCAUCGAUGCGUGUGUGUCUCUGUAUACGCGCCAUCUCUGGAGUGUGUGCAAAGUUCUUGGCCUCGGUCCAAAAUUUGCCCAAGGUACCAGCUGGACUAAACCGGAACUUCCCUGUCCGUCAUAAGUAAAGUGUCCAGAAGAGCCCCGCAAGAAGAUGGUGUGAGGAUGAACUCGGAAGGUUUAGAUGCCCUGUUAUGAUGUAAGCCCCCAACCUUCUAAGUUACCUGUAAAAUGUGUAGUCUUACCUGAAGAGUAAUUCAUUGUGUGUCAUACCAGUUGACAAAGAGGGUGGUUUUGCAGUUUUUUCCUUUAAAUGUUUCUUGGAAAAAGCCAGUCAAGCAAUUUCUGCAGUGUUCAAUGAGCGCAAGGAUGUAUCACUUAUGAAAGUAGCAGCAAAACCAAGUGAAAUUUACAGAAAGUUGAAUCUCGAUAAACUAAGGAAAAGCUCAGAGAUGUAAUUUUUAGUAAGUGCACAAGGAGGAUGUUCCUUUUCGGGUCAUAAUUUCCGAAAGGGGUACCUCCCGUGAACAGUGUGUAACUGUUAAAGGUUGUCAGUCGAACAUACUUCCCGUUGCUUCUGGUGUACCGCAAGGUAGCGUCUUAGGCCCACUCCUAUUUUUGAUCUUUAUUAAUGAUUUACAAAGUAACAUUGAUGUUCCAUUAAGACUUUUUGCAGACGACUGUGUGAUGUACAGUACCGUAAAUACAGUUGAUGAUCAGAUUAAAUUAAAUUUAAACCUGCAAAGAAUAGUGAAAUGGUGUAACGACUGGCAGAUGGAGUUAAACUUUAAGAAGUCUGUGUUCAUGUCAGUAACUAGAAAGAAAAAUGUUCUUGAUUACAAUUAUCAAAUCAACGGUUAUAUGCUUGAAAGAGUCGAUCAGUAUAAAUACCUAGGCAUAACAUUUACAUCAGAUCUACGAUGGAAUACCCACAUUGACAUUGUCAUUUCCAAAGCUUUUAAAACACUAUGGUACCUGCGACGCACUAUGCACAGUGCUACUCCGGAUGUAAAGUGCCUCGCUUACAAAACCCUAGUCAGACCGAUAAUCGAAUAUGCUAAAGUAAUAUGGCAUCCUCACACAGCAACUAAUCGUCACAAGCUUCAUAGGAUUCAGCGACUCGCUGUAAGGUUUAUCUUUAAUAAAUACCGCCGGAACCAUUCUUCAACAGAACUCUGCCAACAAGCCCAACUACCUAUGCUAGAAACCAGAACCAGAUAUGAAAGACUAAAAACUCUUUACCUCAUUAUCAAUAAUCAUCUUAAAAUAAAUAAAUCAGAUUACUUUGAGAUCAAAACUAAUGAAACAUCAAGGCAUCGUCAUAGUAAGUUUAUCCCAUUACCGACUAUAAAAAAUAAUUGUUUCAAGUUUAGUUAUUUUCCCCGAACUUGUAGAGACUGGAACUCUCUACCAGAUUCUGCUGUUCGGUCGACAUCAUUGGCUGAAUUCCUGCGCCACUUAGAAAAUUUCAUCUAUGGCUCUAGCAUAGGGCGAUGAGAUCAGAUUGCUGCUGUAUAAGAUUGCUGUUCUGAUUUCUGAGUGAUGUGUUUUUGUUUAUGUGUGCAUUUCACGAGAUGAUCUUUUCUUCCUUUAACUAAUGUAUAACUAUGGUUUUCAAUAUGUUCUGUACUACUUAUUUUGCUGUUCAGUUCCGUUUUUUUUCCACUCCUGUUAUAGCCCCUCAAUGAGGCUGACAGUAUUAAUAAAUGAAUGAAAAUGAAAAUGAAUGGCAGAAGCAAGCUGCCCUGUACCUGGUUUCAAAGCUGAAUGUUAAAGAGAUUGAUGACCAGUUUCUUGUAAAAGGUUCUGACGAAUCCUUGAUUUCGUUAGGUUUCACGGCAAAAAGGGCUUCAAGGCCUUCUCAGCUAAGGUCAAAGAAUUAUAUUAUUCUAUCCUGCUCAAUGACCUUAUCCAAUGUGUCGAGGAUUGUAUUGACAAAUAUGGCGCUGUAAGGUUUUCACAGGAAGUAGGUUGUUUCAGUAGAAGGGUAUUUAGAAUUAUGGUGUUUUUACAUGUCGUCAACCUUUGCACAGUGGAACAAUAGGCUGAAUCUGCAGAAGAAAGGCAUUUGCAUAGGGUUGUGUCUGGCUCCCGUCUUUAGCAACCUAUAUUUAGCACAAUUAGAUAGGCACAUAUAUGACCACCUCACGGGACUAUCAGUUUUUCAGCGAGCUUUUAGAUUUGUCAACAAUUUUUUUGUGUUUCUGGAUUUCCCUAGUAAUAGUUUUCUAGAAAAAUGUCCUGAUGUCUAAGAUUUCUUGCGAGUGUUUGAGACCUCUUGAAGUGACUUUUGAAGUGCAAUACGUUUCAGUUUCUUGACUUUCAGUUCAUCUUUACUGAUAGUAGGACUUGCUGGGCUUACAGUCCAUGAGCUAAGAAACCCCUUCUCCAAUUUCAUUCAGCCCAUUUGAAUUUGGUGAAGAGGGGCAGAACUAACUAAUAGGGAUGGCUUUCUGCCCACUACUGCGCAUGUGGAUGUAGGCCGAAAUUCAAAAAAUGUUUUAUCGUUGCAAAACACGGAGACCGUGUUACACGUGAGAUAAUCAAAGUGGGAGAAAUUCUAUGUUUAAAGGAUGGUUGCAUCAGCACCCCUCUAUUGCUCUCACUGACAAGGAGAUCAGACACCUCGGGCUAUCACCAUGUUUAAUUUUGUGUGGCUUUGUCGUGGCGUUCUAAGUAUGGUUGGUGGGCUAUUGUGUGACUGUAUAAAUAGCGAUGCUUUCUGAAAAGAAAAUAAACAGUUGGAAGUUCAGCA